UACGGAGGAUGCGAGCGUUAUCCGGAUUUAUUGGGUUUAAAGGGUGCGUAGGCGGAAUAUCAAGUCAGCGGUAAAAAUUCGGGGCUCAACCCCGUCGUGCCGUUGAAACUGAUGUUCUUGAGUGGGCGAGAAGUAUGCGGAAUGCGUGGUGUAGCGGUGAAAUGCAUAGAUAUCACGCAGAACCCCGAUUGCGAAGGCAGCAUACCGGCGCCCAACUGACGCUGAGGCACGAAAGCGUGGGUAUCGAA
rnacentral:rRNA from 1 species